UACAGAGGUCUCAAGCGUUGUUCGGAUUCAUUGGGCGUAAAGGGUGCGUAGGUGGCGCCGUAAGUCGGGUGUGAAAUUUCGGAGCUUAACUCCGAAACUGCAUUCGAUACUGCGGUGCUUGAGGACUGGAGAGGAGACUGGAAUUCAUGGUGUAGCAGUGAAAUGCGUAGAGAUCAUGAGGAAGACCAGUGGCGAAGGCGGGUCUCUGGACAGUUCCUGACACUGAGCACGAAGGCCAGGGAGCAAACGGG
rnacentral:rRNA from 1 species